rnacentral:rRNA from 1 species
GCAGUAGCCGCGGUAACACGGAGGGUGCAAGCGUUAAUCGGAAUUACUGGGCGUAAAGCGCACGCAGGCGGUCUGACAAGUCAGAUGUGAAAUCCCCGGGCUUAACCUGGGAACUGCAUUUGAAACUGUCAGGCUGGAGUCUUGUAGAGGGGGGUAGAAUUCCAGGUGUAGCGGUGAAAUGCGUAGAGAUCUGGAGGAAUACCGGUGGCGAAGGCGGCCCCCUGGACAAAGACUGACGCUCAGGUGCGAAAGCGUGGGGAGCAAACAGGAUUAGAUACCCCUGUAGUCCCUGUCUCUUAUAC